CAGCAGCCGCGGUAAUACGUAGGUGGCAAGCGUUGUCCGGAAUUAUUGGGCGUAAAGGGCUCGCAGGCGGUUUCUUAAGUCUGAUGUGAAAGCCCCCGGCUCAACCGGGGAGGGUCAUUGGAAACUGGGAAACUUGAGUGCAGAAGAGAGAGUGGAAUUCCACGUGUAGCGGUGAAAUGCGUAGAGAUGUGGAGGAACACCAGUGGCGAAGGCGACUCUCUGGUCUGUAACUGACGCUGAGGAGCGAAAGCGUGGGGAGCGAACAGGAUUAGAUACCCCGGUAGUCCCUGUCUCUUAUACA
rnacentral:rRNA from 1 species